GCGGACAUGGUGUAUGGUGGUGCACCGCGGCUCUACAUAUAUUUUGGACUUAUCAGCUUCAGCCGCAGGUCCGGGUUCGACUCCCGGAGUCCGCA